CCUACGGGCGGCAGCAGUGGGGAAUAUUGGACAAUGGGCGAAAGCCUGAUCCAGCCAUGCCGCGUGUGUGAAGAAGGCCUUCGGGUUGUAAAGCACUUUCAGUGGGGAAGAAAGCCUUGGGGCGAAUACCCUCGAGGAAGGACAUCACCCACAGAAGAAGCACCGGCUAACUCCGUGCCAGCAGCCGCGGUAAUACGGAGGGUGCGAGCGUUAAUCGGAAUUACUGGGCGUAAAGCGCGCGUAGGCGGUCUGAUAAGCCGGUUGUGAAAGCCCCGGGCUCAACCUGGGAACGGCAUCCGGAACUGGCAGGCUAGAGUGCAGGAGAGGAAGCUAGAAUUCCCGGUGUAGCGGUGAAAUGCGUAGAGAUCGGGAGGAAUACCAGUGGCGAAGGCAGCCUUCUGGACUGACACUGACGCUGAGGGGCGAAAGCGUGGGUAGCAAACAGGAUUAGAUACCCCUGUAGUC
rnacentral:rRNA from 1 species